GACGUAGGGCGCAAGCGUUGUCCGGAUUUAUUGGGCGUAAAGAGCUCGUAGGCGGCCUGUCGCGUCGACUGUGAAAACCCGCGGCUUAACCGCGGGACUGCAGUCGAUACGGGCAGGCUAGAGUUCGGUAGGGGAGACUGGAAUUCCUGGUGUAGCGGUGAAAUGCGCAGAUAUCAGGAGGAACACCGGUGGCGAAGGCGGGUCUCUGGGCCGAUACUGACGCUGAGGAGCGAAAGCGUGGGGAGCGAACAGGAUUAGAUACCCCCGUAGUCC
rnacentral:rRNA from 1 species